GUUGACCUCGGAUCAGGUAGGGAUACCCGCUGAACUUAAGCAUAUCAAUAAGCGGAGGAAAAGAAACCAACAGGGAUUACCUCAGUAACGGCGAGUGAAGCGGUAACAGCUCAAAUUUGAAAUCUGGGCCUUUCAGGCUCCGAGUUGUAAUUUGUAGAAGAUGCUUCGGGUGCGGCUCCGGUCUAAGUUCCUUGGAACAGGACGUCAUAGAGGGUGAGAAUCCCGUAUGUGAUCGGUUGCUUGCGCCCGUGUGAAGCUCUUUCGACGAGUCGAGUUGUUUGGGAAUGCAGCUCAAAAUGGGUGGUAAAUUUCAUCUAAAGCUAAAUAUUGGCCAGAGACCGAUAGCGCACAAGUAGAGUGAUCGAAAGAUGAAAAGCACUUUGGAAAGAGAGUUAAACAGUACGUGAAAUUGUUGAAAGGGAAGCGCUUGCAACCAGACUUGCGCGUUGCCGAUCAUCCGGGGUUCUCCCCGGUGCACUCGGCCUCGCUCAGGCCAGCAUCGGUUUCGGUGGUGGGAUAAAGGCCUUGGGAAUGUAGCUCCUCUCGGGGAGUGUUAUAGCCCUCGGUGCAAUGCCGCCUACCGGGACCGAGGACCGCGCUUCGGCUAGGAUGCUGGCGUAAUGGUUGUAAGCGACCCGUCUUGAAACACGGACCAAGGAGUCUAACAUCUAUGCGAGUGUUUGGGUGUCAAACCCAUACGCGUAAUGAAAGUGAACGGAGGUGAGAACCCUUAAGGGUGCAUCAUCGACCGAUCCUGAUGUCUUCGGAUGGAUUUGAGUAAGAGCAUAGCUGUUGGGACCCGAAAGAUGGUGAACUAUGCCUGAAUAGGGUGAAGCCAGAGGAAACUCUGGUGGAGGCUCGCAGCGGUUCUGACGUGCAAAUCGAUCGUCAAAUUUGGGUAUAGGGGCGAAAGACUAAUCGAACCAUCUAGUAGCUGGU
rnacentral:rRNA from 1 species